AUUCAAAUCCAGAGUAGAUGCACACAUUCAAAACCAUAGUGCGCCAUCUCAGCCUGCCUACCAUUCCAGUGUUUCUCUCAGGGGCUAUUAGGAAAUCCGUUAGUUGCCGUCUGACAGUCAAAUCUUCAAAACAUAAUGGAAUGGAUUCUAGAAUCCAUGUACACCCAUGAAUUCAUUGGUUGUUGGCAUCCCUCUCAUCUGCAGCGAAAUCACUUGAUAUAUAUCAUGGUUUAUUUUCACUCUUAUAAACUUAUGAUUUUCUCAUUAUGAUGUGGAAGGGCCAAUUGUAAUGAUUCGGGUUACACGCGGUGGGUUUGAUCCAAUGGAUUGUGUAUCACGCUUUCCACCAAGAAGAAGAAAGUAUUUGAUUGUCUAUACUCUUUAUAUAUGUAUCAGCCGUCUUCUUUCUGUCAUUUGAGAAUGGUUUUAGAAUAUACAAGGCUUGGGAAGAGCAGUGUGUACAUGGUCAUGCAAUUAUACGUUGAAGUUCUACACGGGAAUUUCGGCUGAUAUUUUGAGAAGAAACUGGACGGAUAUUGUGAUGGUGGGUGCAUCGAAGACCACAUGUCAUAUCCAUGGUGGUUUGGAGUUUCAGUGUUUGAGAAUUGCUGCCUGUUUUCCGAGAGUGAAGAGGCACCAUGCUUGUUGAUUUCAUCAUGUAACUGAUCUUCAUCAGUGAAGGACUCAAGAAAGUAAGAAAAUAUAUCUGAAUUGCAAUCUUCUCCAAUGGAACUUGGAGUUAUGGAAUUGAUGUCCAUGCGAAUUUCUUCAGGAAUAUGGCGUUGUUGUUGCAUCUCAGAUUGUUCAAAGUUCAUUGGAAAACCUUCGAAUGAGGAAUUCCCAUUGACAGUGCCUGAAAAGCUUGGAAUGCUUUGCAGGACUGAAUCUGUCAUUGCAGGUGCCACAAAAUAGCUAUUUGUGAUUGAGUUUCUUCUCAAAUAUAGAGAAGCAUCAUGGUCUUGUGUACCCACUUCUAAAGAAGCAUUAGAAAAGGGAAUCAAGGUUGGAUUCAUGUGAACAGCGUUAGUAGAGUAUUGUGUAUCCUGAAACACAGGUGAUGGUAAUCUCUUAAAACCACUUUUGCAGGCAUCAUUGAAAGCCUGAUUAAGACCACCUGUUACUUGAGUUUCGGAAACCUCACUAUUGAGCUGUGGGGAAUGGUGGUAUUCACCAGGUCUAGAAGCAGCUUGAAUAUUGUCAGCCACAAUAGUACCAGUUUGUGCAUAUUUAUCUUGAGAAUGAUCAGAAACUUCUGGGCUGAGCUUGUUUUCAGAAUCUACACCUACAUUAUUAUUGUCAUCAUGGUUUUGAAAUUCUGAUUCAGCAAGGGGUUUGUGGGUUCGAGGAUCAAUUCCCUGACUCACAAGUUUUCUGCUAAGGUGGGUAUUCCAGAAGUUCUUGAUCUCAUUAUCAGUCCGCCCAGGAAUACGUCCCGCUAUUAAAGACCACCUGAAAAGUGAAAACCCAUGAUAUACACUGAUUCAAUUCUUUCAUUUUAGGUUUUUUUUUCUUCCUAGAUUUGAGCUGCGGUAUAAUUAGACAUACCUGUUACCCAGAAGUCGGUGCAAUCUGAGAAUGAUGUCUUCUUCAUCGGGCAGAAUUUGGCCUCUUUUCACAUCGGGUCGCAGGUAAUUCAUCCAUCGCAAUCUACAGCUCUUGCCGCAUCGAAGCAAACCUUGAAAAACAAUAGCAAAAGAGCUAAAUUAAAAUUGCUUCACUGAUAUCUCGAAGAAACACGAAUGAAAGAAAAAAAACCCUAAACAAAAUUGAGUACAACUGUAUACCUGCUUUCUUAGGAAGUGUCCUCCAUCCUCCUUCGCCGUGUUUUUGGAGAUACUUAGCCAGAAGAUCGUCUUCUUCGGGAGUCCAUGGCCCUCUAUUCAGACCCACUUUCGUACAGCAAGGAGUUCGACCCAUUUUAAACCCUAAUUAUCUAUUUCAGGCCUCGGAAACACUUUUCUUCUUGCAAUGACUCAGGAUUUGAUCAAGAAAUUAUGAUUGAUUGCAUACGAUUUAAUCCGCUCACAGACAAGCAGCCAUUAGAAUUAUCUGAAUCAUCAACCAGAGCCCUGUCUUCUCUAUUGUUUCAAAAUCACGGGAUUCACUUAGAUGACUGUGUUUACGUUGUCGCACAAAAACUUUAUCUAGUAAUGUUUGAGGAAGAGGAUAACAUAUUACUAAAGUAUUUUAAUUUAAGCCCAAGGCUACAUGGUGCAGUCAUAUUGGGUGCUUCACAUUUCCCACUAACUCUGCUUCACAUUUCCCACUAAGUGGUGGAGCAGAGUUCGGGGGUUAAUUUAGAUCCUUUACUUCGGGUAGAAGCGACGUUGGCCCUCAAUCAAAUUGUCUACACAUUACCAUAAUUUUCGUUUGGUUUUUUAUUUUUUGGUUGAUGUGAUGGAUUUAUCAUGUGGCUCUCCUGUAUUGACAUGUUAAAAUUUGUUUGCAUUUAGGUUAGGUGUGAGUCUAUUAUGAUGGAAAUAAUAUAAUAAAAUAUUGAUAAGUGGUAUAUUCUUGUGUUAAGUUUAGUUCAUGGCUUAAUUUUUGUCUAUUAUUUCACUUCUCUUUUCACUAAAUUUCAUUCAUUUACUAUCUAUUCAUUUUUAUCUUGCCUUCAUUAGUAUUGAUUUUCACCCAUCCACUUUUUGACUCAAGAUUACCAUCCUAUCCGUACUAAUCAUAUGUAUACAACUCAGUGUUGAUCCCAGUCAACUUCGAGGAGCACAUAAUUGAUCCUUGAAUCCCAAGGCAUCAAGUUCAGAUUUUAAUAUUCCCCCAACCUUUCACUAACAAUUAUGAGAAAACCCAACACUUAUUUUGUGAGACAUGUUGCUAUGCCAUUAUAUUUAAAGACAUUCAUCAUGCACUAAAUACAUGCUAGGCAGCCAAAUGUAAGAGGAGGAUAAUAAGAUUACACUUCGACUCUAAAGAGCAAUAAAAGAAUCAAAUCUACAUAUCAUCAUAGAAGUCAUCUACAUUUUUUUGAAUGUUGUCUUUAGUCUUUCUCAUAUUGUUAUUUUGUUACAUCAGGGCUUUGACAUAGGAGAGCACAUAAUUCACCUAUGGAGUUAACAAACUCCUCAAUGAUGUCUUUAGACAACACCUCAAUAGAUUUCAAUAUCUUGAAGGUGAAGGGAAGCAACUCUUUUGGCACACUUUUUGUUAGAUCAAGUCUAAUUAUUGGGAUCACACUUAUGGUACUUGGGACCAAUUUACAUCAUUUUCUAUGACAAUUCAAAUUCUAUUAUAUUCAGGUUACUAAAGAAAUUAAUUUUCUCAUAGUGUUUUUUAUUAA